CCAACCCCCAAAGAACUAGUCUAACAUAAGACCUCUA
rnacentral:tRNA from 1 species